AUCUACAAAAAUAUACACUUUACAUAUGUAGCAUAAAGUAUAUUAACUGGUGUGGAAACUAGCCGUUUUGAUCUGAGAAUAACAUGAAGAAAGACAAAUAAACAAAUGUAAUUGUUUAAGAUAUGUGAACGCGACAUAAAUUUGUAAAAACAAACAAUAUGUAGAGAACAACGGUAUCUACAUAGGUAAAAAACGAGCAGUAACGAUAUCAACACUCUGGCUCAAUCAUAAUGUAAACAUCCUGUGUUAUUUAAUAUUCUGUGAAGCUCACUUGUGAAUGUAAACAGAAACAUUCUAAAAACAGUCAUAACAAUAUAAAGGUAAAUGCUUGAGAUUUAUAACAAUAACACAUGCUUAUAAUGAAACUUUUCAUAACACAUUAGAAUAUAAACAAUGUUGAAAAUAAUCCAAUAGUUACUUGAAUGGAAAUGAACAGCCUUGACAAGUCUUGGUUUACAUUAAGCCAUAAUGAAAUAGCGAUUUCAACAAACUCUUGUGAAAAGAGUAGGAUAAAGAUAAUGAAAAUGUUCAUUUAUAGUUUCGGCACAAGCGGAAGCGCUUGUUCCCCCUUGUUGAUAUUUGGUCUUCUUAGUUUUAUCGUGAUAUUUUCAAGAUUACGUAGAUUUCUCUUAGUAUGUGCUCUGAGAAAUAUCUUGAAGCAUUGAUUGAUCGGUGGGCUGUCGUUACAGUUUUGAGUGUGUUUUGCUUCAUAUGUGAAAAAGACACUUUUGAAGUUUAGGUGUUCGUUGAUUCGACCUUUUCUUGUUUCAUGGCUGCCGAUCCUAUAGAUUCUUGUUUGGAACUCAAGCAUACUGGUACACAAACAUGGAGCUUGUAACUCGAGAAUACUGGUACACGACCUGGAGUUUGGAACUCAAGCAUACUGGCACACGACCAUAGAGUUUAAUAACGGCAAAAUUCAGAGUUCAAUCCCUAAGAAGAUCAAAACAGGCAUCACACUAGGAUGUUAAACGAACAUAUAAGCCGUCAACAAUGUCUGAAUUACAGAAACGCACUCCCGUUCAUAUAUAGUAUUGUUGUGAAGCGGUUGGGAAAACUUUUCAUAAUACGAGCAUAUCCUCUUUCGACUGCCACUCUUAAUAGACUCUGAGGACAAGUGGUAAAAGAAAAGGACUUUGAUAACGACCUUCUGCUAAAUAUGGCACAAAUAUCACGCCACUUUGAAAAUCCAAGUGAUAUUUCCUCUUAUCGAUUGUUUUGCAGACUAACCGUGAUUCUAUACCUUUGUAUUUAUAUAGCUUAGGCAGUUACUGGAUAUAGAACCUUCUGAUCAUUCUGUUUUGCAUAUGAAAAUACAAAGAGUUUAAACUAACAUUACUGAGGUUAUCUGGCCGGCCAAUUGCCACAUGAAGUGGCAAAAUUAUUUAUAUCUAGGCCAUCCUAAUCGUAACUCACCCUAAUAUUAGACAGUUAGCUAUAUGUUGUGUUAUUUGAAGAACAAUAGAUUGUAGCGGCAGGUUUCAAAGAAAGUAAAUGACUUGAAAUCAGCUAGCAUUUGUUUUAUUAAAUUUUGAUUUUCAGUUUCAACUAUAUUUAGUGUCAAUUAAAUUUUGUCAUUCAUUUGCGUCUUAAAACCAAUUUAUUUGAUUCUGUCAUUAAGUGAUUUAUAGCUUUGCUUGUCUGUUGUCUGAUUGUGUAAAUAAAGUGUGCAUAUGGGUGUGAAGCACCCAGUCUCGUAGUUUUCUUUUUACGGCUACCUUAGUUAUCCAACAUAUUUUCAUGAACCGAACUUCUAUUUUUCGGCCCAACAUGGCCAGGUGGUUAGGACGAUCGACUCACAAUCUGCGAGUCGCGGGUUCGAAUCCCCGUCCCACCAAACAUGCUCGCCCUUUCAGCCGUGGGGGCGUUAUAUCGUGAA
rnacentral:lncRNA from 1 species